GUUGACAUCUGCUAGGGACAUAACUUAUAUCCAGGCACUUGGGCAAGCAGUUGGUGCCAAGAGAGUGCAACAUGCAAGUGUUAUUCACCUCUAACAAUCUGGGCAACGUCUUUUUUUUUGAGCCUAAUUGUGGCUCUGAGUGCCAAAUAUUUUAAAACUGAUCUUUUGGCAUUGCUAUGUUAACCAACGAACAGCUUAAUAGCAGGAAAUGCCUGGAGUGUUAGUGGGAAAUAGUAUUUAUUUAUUCUGUAGAAGACCUGAAGGAGCCCUUCAGCACUUGGACUCCAUUGCAACUCUGCUAUGCUGUACAGGAAGGCUCCUCUGCACAGUAGACCUGGGUUUUACUACUAUAUGUGUCAUGCUUGCUCAGCGAUCUGGGGUAUGUUGCUUGAUUUUUUUCUGCUGAACUUCCCAUCUUGAAACAGUAUUAGUAAUUCCUCUAUUCAAUGUGCUAUCAGAACUAUAGCUGCAAAUGACUAUAUAAAAGCUAGGCUGUGUUUUGGUAGGGGAUAGGAGAGAAGAAGAAAUAUCUAUUUUGUGCAUGUUGUAAGUCCAGAGAAAAAUGCUGGGCUACUUGACUGAAAUGAAUAGAUCACUGCCUCCCAAAAUUUCAGCAGAAAGCUUGCAGCUGUAACUGUCAUAGUGCAAUUCCUGUCUGACUACUCAGAGUAACAGAGCCUGGCAAGGAAACUACGAGACCUCAUGCAAGAAAGAAAAUACUCCUUUCAAAGAGGAAAAAAAAAAAGGAAAGCAAUUCUGUGCGAUGAUGGCACAACCUUGAAGAGCUCAGGAGAAGGAAGAGCAAAGUCCCAGAGGAAGCAGAGGGGUGUAUACCUCAUACACCCAGAAGAGCUUCCCAGGACAGGAGCAAUUGGCUGGUGAGGUGUUCACACAUUAGAGCAAAGUUGAAAGCACUAAUCAAGGAAUAGGCAACCUUCCUUCGUGUACCUCCCCUCACAACCAUUUCUUCAGUGGCCAGAGAAUUAUCAGCUGUUUGGGGAGUGGAGGGGAAGGCAACUCCAAGAGAGUCUCUUCCUAAGCAGGGGAAUGGGCAUUGGCCCCCCAGGAGCCUCCCAGGAAGACACAGAAUAAUGUAUCUUGAUCAAAGAAGGCAAAAUUCAGAAACACAUUUCCAAGGUUUUCCUUGCAUUUACAGUGCUGUAAGAUCAUAGCUUUAGAGGUGUCUGCAUGCUUGUUAUGACUUAAGAGGAAGUUACCUGGAAGUAACCAUGUGUGACAGCAUCCUGAUCUGGCUCCCUUUGUUGUCCACAAAAUGAUUUUCAAGGUCUUGAACAGAAUCUGGAUCAUUCUCCUACUGCCAUGGUCGUUUGCCCUGAGAGGCUCAUUUGCAACCUCUUCAAUUACCUUUCAAACACUCAAACUGUUGAGGCUAAGAGUUUGUAUCUAUUGUGAUUUGGCUCCAUCACAUAUUUUAUGUAAUGGGUGUGCAUAGUGCCUUAUCAAAACACAGAGCUCUGUGCUUUGCUUCACAUAUAGACAAAUAAUGAUUAAAAAAAAUAAGAAAAAAUAUAAAAGCAUGCAUCCUUAUAUAUAACAAAUGCUUCUCUUUUUUUCUGUCUCCAUGGAAAUUCUGAAUUAAACUACAAGUUGUUGCUAUUAAAUGGUAACAGAUCUGCACAGUCCAGAAAAGCACUUCUGCAUUUGUGAUCUCUCUUUUGUGAUAACCACCACAAUAUUACAGCCUGCUCCUGCAGUGACAGGAAAUGAUAUUCAAAUUUUGCAUUUCUGCUUAGCCCACAUAGAUAUUUAGCCAGAGAUAAUAAGAAAAUACUUCACAAUUAUGCUAGCUAAGAGUCUAUUAUCCCUUCAAAUCCAUGGCCUGCACAGAAGGGAAAGCUGAAAGGACUAUUUCAGUCAUUUAGGGUAUAUGUUUCUCUGGCACACUCAUAAUCUGACCAAAGCCAUUAUUUGGAAGUCAUUUGCACUCAAUCAUUUUGCCUGUUAAUGAGGAGUUACUGAAUCCUCCAAGCAUUAAUCCCAUUUAGGAAAACACAAAGGCAAUCUGUACCUUGUAUCAAGCAAUUAUGAUUGCAUUGAGCUUGAGGAAUUCAGUCAUUUGUUGGAGGUUGAUUUUCCCACAACAGACCCUCUAAAUAGAAUUACCAAGCCUUUCAAAUGUUAAUUUGUUAAGAAAAAUAUAAUGGCUAAUAAAGACAAUUAGGUUUGUAUUGUAAAUACUGGACUGCAGGACUAAAGCUGCCAUGGCUUGUCAGAAAAGUGUGGCAGGAAUCUGUAAAACUGAGGAUGGAAACUAUCUUCUUACCGGAAUAAAGAACAU